UACAUAGACCUCAAGCGUUAUCCGGAUUUACUGGGCGUAAAGCGUGCGUAGGCGUUUCGUUAAGUCUCUAGUGAAAGCCCUCGGCUCAACUGAGGAAUUGUUAGAGAUACGGGCAGGCUAGAGUUCGGUAGGGGAGACUGGAAUUCCUGGUGUAGCGGUGAAAUGCGCAGAUAUCAGGAGGAACACCGGUGGCGAAGGCGGGUCUCUGGGCCGAUACUGACGCUGAGGAGCGAAAGCGUGGGGAGCGAACAGG
rnacentral:rRNA from 1 species